rnacentral:lncRNA from 1 species
AUGUGCCAUACGUGAAGGUAACAUCUCCAGUCUGGUCAAUGUUAACUUGAUUAACCGUGCAACAAUCAAACAAGAACAUGCACGAUCAAUCACGCAACAUGAUUCGCACCAAGGGUGCUGCUCUCAAAUACACACACUCACCCAUUCCAAGAAUGAUUUCACUUACAGUAUUCUAUACACUUCUGAUCUAUCUGAGACCCUCUUCAUAAUCUUCUGAACAAGUUAAUCUCUCUGAUGUUUCCCAUGAUCAAGUCUGGUUCCAUUGCUUUCUGAUUUCUUUCUUCUGUCCAGCAACUGAGGAUUCAACAGGUCCGUCUAUACCAAGCUUGAUUCACCAACUGAAUACUCUUGUACGACGACUUCAUAAUUUAUGUAUUGAUACAUCCUUUGAUAUCUUAACAACCUUAGCAUUCCCAUAUGCCUUACGGUCGUACAUAUUCCUUAACUCAUCUAUCUUCUUUGGCGUUCACUUAACAUCUCUUUCUACUCAUCUAGUUUAAUCUUCUGGUAGAACUUGAGUUCCUUCUUCCACGUCUUUUGUAAUUAACCUUGUGUACAUAACACUCCUCAUAUAAUCCACUGAAAUUAUCAUUAUUCCGCUCCUCCUAAGUUUUCCUUAAGUUCUCAUUCCUCAACUGAGUUCCUUAGAUACAAACGAGUAAGCCAUCUUAAUUUACUACUUGCGAUCUUCAAGACUCUUAAGGCAACCGAAUAAAUCAUUCCAAGUUUC